rnacentral:rRNA from 1 species
CAUUGUAUCACUCAUUAUGAUACCUAUA